rnacentral:rRNA from 1 species
AGCUUGUUGUUUUUUAUAAUAAGUGUUUUCUGCUCAAUGCAAUUGAAGUAAAUGGCCGCGGUACUCUGACCGUGCAAAGGUAGCAUAAUCAUUUGUUCUUUAAUUGGGGACUGGAAUGAAAGAAAGUUCGAGACUAAAGCUGUCUCUUUUCUAUGUUAGAAUUUACUGUUUUUGUGAAGAAGCAAAGGUGUUUAAAAAAGACAAGAAGACCCUUUUAAGCUUUACUUUUUACUUUUCUUGAGUCUUUAUUUAAGUAUUUGUAGAAUUUGGAAAAAAGUUUGGUUGGGGUGACUGAAGAAGAUGGGAUCUUCUUUAGUUUUUUUUAACUUUAAGUUUAAUUUUGACCCAGAAUUUUCUGGUCGAAAGAAUUAGUUACUAAAGGGAUAACAGCGUAAUUUUUUCAGAGAGUUCUUAUUGAAGAAAAAGAUUGCGACCUCGAUGUUGACUUGCUUUUUCCUUUAAGGGUGUAGAAGCUGAGAGGGUUGGUCUGUUCGACCAUUAAAAUAGC